rnacentral:lncRNA from 1 species
GAAUUUACCGAGAAGGAUUUCUCAACUGUAAUGACUACCAAUUUUGAGUCUGCUUAUCAUCUGUCUCAACUUGCACACCCCCUCUUAAAAUCAGCAGGAAAUGGAAACAUCAUAUUUAUAUCCUCUGUUGCAGGCGUUAUUGCUAUACCUAUGUGUUCCAUCUAUGCAUCGAGUAAAGGUACAGUUCAAUAUUUUCUCUUAAAAUCUAGUUCCAAGAAAGUCUUUUAGAUACUGACUGAAUAGUCUUCUGUACUUCAGGGGCGAUGAAUCAACUCACAAAGAACUUGGCAUGCGAGUGGGCAAAAGACAAAAUUCGUGUGAAUACAGUUGCACCAUGGGUCAUUAGAACCCCACUCCUUGAUACCGUAGAAGUAUAUACUCAUUCCCUCCACCCUUUUCCAUGAAUGGCUAAAUAUUUAUGUUCUAUUUUCCUCAUCACAUCUAUCUAGUUAAAACACCCAUUAAAAUAUUAUGCUUCUAAGUUUUAGCAUACAAUCAUUAUGGGAAUCAUGUCACACAUAAUCCUUUAUUUCCAGCUAAGCAUAUGUAUAAAGAAAAAUUUCACAUAGAAGUACAAAUUACCGCAUUAUGUCACUUGCUUACAUCUUCUGCGUAUGUAAACCUACAGCAUUUAGAAGAAACGGUGCUUAACUGCUUAUAUUAACUGUUAAUUUUUUUGUUCUCUCAGAAAGAUUCUAAUUUUCUGGAACAUGCAAAUCGCAUGGUACUCCGUACUCCUAUGCUCCGUCCUGGAGAACCUAAUGAGGUUUCAUCCGUGGUAGCAUUCCUAUGCUUGUCAGCCGCUUCAUAUGUCACUGGGCAGGUUAUUUGUGUUGACGGAGGAUACUCCGUCACUGGAUUUUAGCGGCAAUGAAAAUGAUCUUCGAUGCUAUUCACUGUAAUGUAUGACGCUUAAUAAGCACUCGUUCAAAGAGAGAAGAUUCUGUGUUAUCUUUUAGUUGGUUAUGUCGUGAUCAUUAUCCUGUAUCUUACAACCUUCCAUCUUUGAUGACUAAUAAAUUUCAAACAAAAAGACUCCUAUAAUUCCUUUUAGUUCAACAAAAUGUACUCUAUAAAUGACACGACCCGCCCCAACCUAUAUGUCGGAUCCGAGGCGAAUUAUGUGGACUAAUAAGUAAAACUCAUAGCACAAAUUUAAUUCAUGAAAAUAUAUAUAUAAAUGAUUUCUAAUAUAAGCACAUAACAACUUCUGUGUCUCAUCCGAAAAUAUCCAUUCAAAACUUGUUAAAAUUUUAUAUAUAUAUAAAAUAAUAAUAAUAAUAAGCAACACAAACGUGCUCAAAAUGCAAGACAUUCAGUAAUGCGUCUCGUGGCCCAACCUCGAUUUUCUAGAACUGAUAUGCACGAAAUCGUGCGAAAUCCUAGGAGAAAAUGGAUAAAUAAGAAAAUAGUGAGCUUGCAGCUCAGUGAGUGGAUGUAAUUAUAUAUAUUAUAAAUAAUAUUAUUAUUAAAGUAGUGAACUAGUGCUUAUACAUAAUCAUGUGACAUAACUCCACAUUGAAUAUCACACAUCAACAAACAUGGAAUUUAUGUAUACAUACAUGACAAAACUGUACCCAAUAGUACCUAGGGGAAAAUAUCUCUCAAUACUCGCCGGGAUCAUCAUCGCCCGAGUAAAACGGGGAAAAGCGUCUCAAUACCCAUCGUAAUUAAACUAUCUCGUACGGGUAGAGUAACAUAACUCUCAAUACGCAUGCGCAGAGUCUACGGGGAAUGGUACAUAUGUGGUAACUCAUAAUCACAUCUCAUAACUCAAUCAAACAUAUAAUAUGCAUACAUGUAAUCAUAACAUGGUAUUAAAUCAUAAUAUCAAACAUAAAUGUUGCACAUAAUAUAUAAUAGUAAUAAUAGUAUCCACUCACAGAUCCUGCUUCAAUUCGGGGUUUGUUGGAGCUCUUGUGGUCUUAUGGAUUCUUGAAUUUCUCCUAAAAUACAGUAUUAAAAAAUUAACGGUUAGAAGUGAUUUAAAAACUUAUACGUAGUAGGUAAAUUAAAUUAUAAUUAUUUAAAUUUCAUAAAUCCAUUACCCACUGAUCAUAUGGAUAUAAUUCUAACUAUCCAAUUUCAAUUCCGGUAUUUUUAUUAUUUAUUUUUCUUUUCCUUCACACUCUGUCUUUCUUUCCUUUCUUCUUAUUUCUUUUCUUUUUUUCUUUUCUUUUCUUUUUCUUCUUUUUUUUCUUCUCUUUUCUCUCGGUUUCCUUUCUUUUUAGCUCUCGGUGCUCCUAUUGGCAACUGUCAAAAUUUAUAUAUAAACAUUAACACUGCCUCAAGCAAGCAAGUGGAACGUGCAUGUGGCAAGCAAGAAGUGAUGAGCAUAAUUUAUAUACAUAUUUUACCCUUUAUUGUAUAUUUGCUAGUUAAUUUUAUUUGUUAUUUUUAAUUAAUUGAAUUGUUUUAUUGAAUAGGGAAUUAAUUGGAGAUUGGAAAUAAAAAGUGCAAAAAGAAUAAUAAUUUGGGGAAAUAUUAGUUGAAGUUGUGAUAGAGUUAAGAGCCAAGAGCAAUUUGCAUUGAAAAAGAAUUUCAAUUCUCCAAUUGAGUUGCACGUCCAUAGCAUUGCAAAAGGGGAAAGCAAUUUAAAUGGGGCCCACACUUGACUUUCAAAAGUGGAAUUAAUGGCUGGCGUUAUUAUGGAAGCUUUGUUUCAUAAUUGGAAAAGGAUUUUAAUUAGUAGACAAAGAGGAUUCGGUGGCUAAGCAUUAUAAAAUAGAGUUUUGGCUUUUGAAUGAGGGUGGCCGCCAGAGGAGGAGAAAAAGGCUGGAAGAGAGCAGUUGCAGCAGCAAUAUUUCGGCUUCCCAUGGCUGAUUUUAUUUCUUUUGUUGCUCCCAAUUCAAGUAUGUCCAGCUAAUUUUCUUAUACUGAGGUUAAAGAUGAAACCCUAUUCAAUGAAAUAAUUAUUUUUUUAUUUAUUUAUUUAAUUCCCAUAUAUGUUCUUUAAUGAUUAUGGUUUUUAUUUCACAUGAUUAAUUGGAUGUUAAUAAAAUCUUUUCAUCAAUUCUGUCAUGCAUUAUUGAUUGUUAAGAUUAAUAUUCGAUUAAUUCUAUGCUUGGAUCUAUAAAGUUUAUACAUGAUUAUCUUUGAUUUUAUGUCUUUCAUUAAAUUGUUUACAUGGAGUGCUUAGGAAACUUUGACUCUUUGUUAUUCAAUAUGUUUACAUGAGAUUCUUAGAUGUCAUAUUAUUAAGCAGAAAAAGAACCUACAUUAGAUUUAAUUACUUGGGCUUAAUUGUUAUAUCCAUGAGAUGACAUAGAUUGAUUUCGAGUUGUCACUCCAAAAUUGGGGAUUAAUUAAUAAUUAGAUAAUUAUUAGUUGAAUAGUGGUGGAUUCUGAAACCUUGGUAAUUCUUAUCUUAUUGAAUUCUCCUUUAUUUUAAUUGCUUCUUUAGUUUAAUUGGUUUAAUUUUCUUAAAAACUCAAUUUGUUCAACUAGGUUAGAAUUAAUAUUAAUUUUAGAUUUAAAUUAGACUUUUUAAUUUAUAACAAUCCUUGUAGGAUCGACCUCGUUAACACUAUUCUAUUUCUAGAUUCGUGCGCUUGCGAGUAUAUUAAAAUUUUCACAACAAGAAGUGAAGCCGACAUGUGGAGAAGCGGUGAAGCAGGCAGCUGAAAUGAUGAAGCAUGCAGCUUGGUCGCGCAAAAUUAAUGACCCAUGCUGGCUGUUAUUUAUUUAUUUUUUUUCCAAGCAAUGCAUGGCAAUAAAUCACCAAGUAUGAACGUAUCCAAGAAACACAAUAGAUAGUCAGUUAAACAAGAAGCAUGAUAUCUGAUUGACGAAACGGAAACAUUGAAAGUAGAUUAAUAGAAGAAACAAGGUUUUUAAAUAAUGAGUUUAUUUAAAUAAUGAGUUUAUUGAAUGAUUCUCAAUAAUACAAAAGUAGGGUUCUAGGUGUUGAAAAAGUUAAAUAAGGAGUGCUUCUUUGCAAUUCGGUGGCACACAAAAUUGACAAAGAUGGAUGGCUUGAGUUCUAAAAAAAAAUCCUAGAUGAAUAUGAAAAAAUCUUAAAACUCAAAAACAGGCAGAAAAGAAGUAGAAUUUUCAGCUUGACCCCAGGAUAAAAUGACACGAACGAUUUUGUUUUAGAUUCAUCUGAUCGCAAAUUUCCAAAUGAUAUAUUAUACGCUGGAAACGAACAACUAUAGUCUAAAUUAUGACCUCCAGAGGAUACCCCACUCGUAAUACACGCCCAUCAUACAUCGUUGAUGCCUAGCUAGAUUAAAAAGGAGAUGAAGUCAUUUGGGUUAUUUUGGCCAGAUUCACACCAGAGAGGCGCAGAGUUAAUUGGUAUCAUUUUCCUUCUUGUUCUUCCCCAUCAAUCGCUUACUGUGAGGAAUUGGAACACGGCACGGCAGUCCAUAAAGAACGUAUCUUUUUGAAAAAGUUGUUGGCCAUAGAACAUGUGGAACAAAAUUGUUCCAUUAUUAUCAAGUAAUUGAAACCGAUCACCGUCCAUGUGGACUCGUUAAAAAUGGAAAUUUCAUUGAAUCAAAAGUUCAAAGAAAAUCAUGUUCCUGUUGAUAUCAAAGAUCUACCAAGAAUAAAUGGGAAAUAUUUGAAGUAUAUGGUCACCAGUUAAGGGGGUCUGACCGGCAUCCCAGUAGGAGAGGAAAUAAAUGGCAGGGCCCUAGGCACCUAGCUGUUAUUUAUUUAUUUAUUAUUAUUAUUCAUCGCUAAUUAUAUUAAAUUAAGGAUGAGAUUAAAAAAAAAACAUAGAUUCUAAUUUAAUAUAUUUUGUCAUGUGGUAUAUUUUGUAACCGUACGUAACAUUCACGGUGAUGAAGCUGACUCCAAGGCACUGUUGUUGGAUCUGUGAAUUAAUUCAUUGCUUUUCUUGUUUGAUUCUUCAAAAUAUUUUUUGGGUUCUUUUUUAUGUAAGAGGGUUUUCACACGUUGGUACUGAAUGUUAUUGAAAUGUUUAAAUCGCAUUCUAAAAAUAGGAAUCAAAACAUUUUUAUUUUUAAAGAGAAAAUAGAAAUAAAAUCUUUAUAGCUUGUUCAAAAAUAUUUUUUAAUAUCAAAAAAUUUUAGAUCUUCUUUGAUAUUGAGGUGCAAUACUAUAACUACAAUUGCUAUAACAAAUUAAAGUGAGGAUAUUUAGUAAAUCACUAGUUAUAAAAGAUCAUGAUAUUUUUAAAAAUAAUAAUUAAAAUUCAAUAAAUUUACAUUGAAAACAAAAUAGAGAGAAUAUCGGAGCUGGGCUUUUAAGAGACAAAGAGAUGAAGACAAAAGAAUAAAAAGAUUGAUGCUAUCAGCACUCCUCUAAUAUGCUGAGGAAGCCCCUUCUUUGGAAUUAUAAUUUUAUCCAUGUGCAAAAUUACAUGAUACGCCCACAAUUUCAUCAGGUCUUGUGCAAACUUUCACACCCACGAGUUGCCGACUUCAUAUUACGAACUUUUGGCACCCACAUGUAGAAGACUGCCCUUUUUUUUUCUUUUUAACAAUUCAAAAUAGUGGAAGAAGUGGGAGGAACUUGUUAUUGCAUGUGUUCAAGAAUUCCAUUUUUAUUUAUAUUUUAUUCAUGUUUUGUUGUCACAUUUGUGAAGAACAAAUUACCCAUCAUUGUCUUGCUACUUCAACUACGACUGUCAUAGUUUUCAAAAUUUGUUAGAUUAUUAUUGGUGCAUAAUUUGUGCCGUUGUUGAUUACUGCACUCAUUUUUUUUUUUCCCCCUUCGAGAAUUCAUCUUAUUUUGAAAUUUAUCAACUUUCUCCAUUAUUUUUCUUUGAUCUGCAAUUGAAAUUGUCUUGGUUUGGCAUCAAUGCAGAGUUUCCUUUCCUUUUCGUAUUGCUAACCUUCUUGCUCGUGAAAUUGCAUAUCUUGGUUUGAUAUGCAUCAAUGCAUAUUGGAGACAAAAGGAGGGAGUUUACUGGUCUAAUUUGUGUGAUUACUUAUAGUACUCCCACAUUUGGAUUGCUAAUUGGUUUUGACUAGUCCAAUUAAAAAAAUCCCAAAUUCAUAAGAUAAGUUGUCUCAUGUGGGCGUACGCAAAAAUCAGCGCAACAUACAUAAUAUGGGUUGGGUUAAUAAGCGCUUCCAACUCGGGUAAAUUAAUUUUUACCAACCCACAAUAUUUACGCGUUGAGUUGGGUUGAAAAUUUUUAACUCAAUCCAUCAAUCCACACAAUUAGUAAUAAUAACAUUUUCAAUUUUUCAUUAAUAAUUACUUAUUCAAAUAAUAAUGAAUUAUUAUAUAGGAUUUGAUCAAAAUUAAAAGUUUAAUGUUUAGUUUUUAACGAGGCUUUGAACUUCUAGAUUUAUUUUUUAACAUUAUGUUAGUGUAAUGGAUUAUGAUGUAUGAUAGAUGUUAUUAUACACAUGUUUUAUUUUUAGUUAUUUCUAUUAAUCAAUUAUUAUUUUUUAUUUUGAGAUUGAACAAAACAGAGAACUAAAAAGAGUCUUUCGGGUAAGCCCAACUUGACUUGACUAAACGUGCACUCACGCGAUUUAAGUAAAUUUCUCUUCCCUCUUCCAAAUUCUAAGAAUAAAAAACCAAGAAACGUUAAUUUAUUAUAAAUUAUAAUUUAGUAAAUUGAAUAAAGUGCGUUUGCAAAUCUUUGUUGAUGUCGUUUUCAUCCUCAUUUUUCUUCCCAUUUACAACUCCACUCCCUUGCAAAAAUAUGCCUUUGGUAAUCUCGCUUUGAUGCUCCUUCUGCUUCCCAUUCACAAAUCCAUUUUCCUGCAAAACAUUGCCACUAGCUUAAUUAGAAAUAUCAGAACAUCUAAUUUGAAAAGCUUCUCAACUUCCCUGCAAACUCCUCCAUUAUUUUCUCUCUAUCCCUCAAUUUAUUUUGCCAUUCAUCAGGUUAUUGUUAACUUAUUUUUUGUUUUCCCUUAAUACAAAAUUAAUUAUACUAUGCAUGGUUCUCUAAUCUUUUUUUCAAAUUAAUUAUGUUAUUCGUAAUAAUAAUAUGGGUGUAUUAGUUUCUAAUGACUAGUUCAAUAAUAUCAUUGGAUCAUUCAAGUGAUAAAGAACAGGAAGAACUCAUUAAAGUGGGGAUGAAAGUUAAUUUUGACGAAGAAGCAUAUAAUUUAUACAAUAAUUAUGCUUUGAGAAGAAGCAUAUAAUUUAUACAAUAAUUAUGCUUUGAGAAAAGGCUUUAGUAUCCGCAGAUGGAACAUUCAAAGAGAUACAUCAAAUAAAAUUCAGCAACGUGAAUUUAUUAAUUUGUUCGAAACAAGGUUUUCAAUUAGAUGAAAACUUAUAUAAGGCGAAGAAGGUUAAUAACUUGGAAACAAGAAUAGAUUGUAAAGUUAUGGUUCGAUGCGAUCUACUGUCAAUGAUGAAGAGUGGAUAAUUCCUCAUAUAUUCUCAGAUCAUAACCAUGAACUUGCAAAUCUGAAGAAAGGCAAUUUCUAAAAUCUAGCUGAAAAAUACCUAGUGCUCAUGGGGCUGUAAUAAGGUCUAUUCUAUGGGUAAUGUGGGAUAAGAGCGUCGAAGUCAUGCUCCAAUUUAGCAAAUGAAGUUGGUGGGGCUAAGAAUCUCAACUUCUUAAAGAACAAAAAAACAAGGAUAAGAUGAUUGAAACAAGUCAAGCUUUGCUCAAUUAUUUAAACGAAGACAAUGUGAGGAUCCUUGCUUUUUUUAUUCAAUACAAGUUGAUCGAUAUAAUUGCAUGACGAAUUUUUUUGAGACACAAUAGAUCAAAGUUAGAUUAUGACUGAUUUGUUGAUGCUAUUUGUUUUGAUAAUACAUUUUGCACUAACAAAUAUAAUUUAAUAUGUGCUCUAUUUGCGGGUGUUAAUCACCAUUCGAAGAAUGUAUUGUUUGGUUAUGCCUUUUUGUAUGAUGAGUGUUGAGAAUCAAAUAAAACGGCAUUGAAUGAAGCUUUCAAAGACAGAAUCUGCACUUGUCAAAGGGGUAAUCUGCACUUGUCAAAGACAAGAUCCGCGCCGAACGGAUUGACACAUUUCCUUCCGUAUUCACAUAUGUAAUCUUUGAAAAAAUGUAGCCUCUGCAUCUAUAAAUAACUCUCAAUGUAUAAUGCUUUAUUUAAGAAAUGAAAACACGUUUCUUCAUGGUAUCAGAGCCAUGAAUACGCUCAAGUUUCUUCAAGUUCCUCAGCUCUGUUUGUAACAAAAACAGAGGAAACCAAAUUCCUCCCACAACCAUUUUUCCCACCAUUUUCUUUCUUAAACCCAUUCCUACCAUUACAGAUAUCCAUGCCGAUCAAGAAACAAGCCACCCAUACGUAAAAAACUUGAGUUUACAAAUUUAUCAACAAUCACAUCAAUUUUCCGAGAGUGUGUUCCUAAAAAACCAAGAACACCAUCAAAUUUCUCAGUUUUCAGUGAGGAAACUGUAAAAAUUUCGCAUUUAAACACAUUCCCACGCGCUCCCACGCGCCACCCGAAGCCACGGCCAGUCAACCACGCGCCUCUGUCAUCAUUCACGCGCUCUCACGCGCUCCAGAGGUUGAAGAAGACGUCAGCCGACAUGUCGUUUGUAUCUCAGAAGUGCAGCAGUCACAAAACGACGUGUCGUUUUUUGUUAUAUUAAAACCGACAUGUCGUUUUGUAAAUUAGAGAUAAAACGACGUGACGCUUAGUCUCCAGAAGUGCAGUAGGAUUAAAACGACAUGUCGUUUAUAUUCCACGAUAACCGACAUGCCGGUUUAGCAAGCAGUGGCCAAACGACCUGGCGUUUUGUUACCUAAAAAGGUUAUUUUUUGUUUUUUUCUUCUUUCAAUCUAGACGGAAAAAAAACAAAAAAAAAAGGAAAACAAACAAAAAAAAUAAAAAAAUAAAAAGAGAAAAAAGAAAAGAAAAAAAAACAAAAAAAAAUGGAGAAAACUCCAACUGAAUCUAGUCCUGUUGUCAUUCAAUCUGUUCAAUCUGAUGGAGUAUUUAAUGCUGGAAUUAUCCUCACUGAGACAAACUACGAUGUUUGGUCUCAAAUAAUGGAGAUGCAUCUUGCAGAAAGAGAAAAACUCUCAUAUAUUCGUAGCAGCACAAAGCCAUUUGAGGAAUCUUCAAAGGAAUAUGAGAAAUGGUAUAGUGAGAACCAAAAAGUAAAAAGAUGGUUACUCAUAUCCAUGUCUCCGGAGAUCAUGAAGCAAUAUUUACGAAUUCCUACAGCCUACGAAAUCUGGGAUGCAUUAUCAAAAGCCUUCUAUGAUGGAAGCGAUGAAUUACAAGUUUUCACUCUAAACCAGAAGGCAUUCUCUACCAAGCAAAAUGGACAACCACUCUCUAAAUUCUAUGGAGAAUUGGUCGAAAUAUUUCGAGAACUUGAUCACCGAGAUAAAGUGGUCAUGAAGGAUCCAGAAGAUGUUGUAAUAUACAGAAGGUCUGUUGAAAGAUUGAGAGUGCACAUUUUUCUUGCUGGGCUAGAUGAAGAAUUUGACCAAGUUCGUGGAGAAAUUCUACGAAAAGACAUUAUCCCAUACUUAGAAGAAUGUUAUUCUCUGAUCCGAAGAGAAGAUAUACGGCAAAGCAAACUAAACAAGAAGGUCGACUCAGAAACGUCUGCUAUGAUAGCACGACAGCAGCCUCAAAGGAAGUUUGUUGACAAGUCAUCACUCCAUUGCACUCAUUGUAGAAAGAAGGGUCAUACGAAAGAACAAUGUUUUGAAAUCAUUGGAUAUCCUGACUGGUGGGAUACUCGAAAGAAGAACACCAAGCAUGGAUCAAAAACUGCAGUAGCUGAAUCCACAUCCACUACAGAUCUUAGAAAAUAAUCUUCAGUGCAAAUCGCAACCUCUGUCAGUCCAGGUAAGGCCCUUAAAACUCUUACACCUGUUAUUAAUAGUACAUGGAUAAUUGAUUCUGGGGCAACUGAUCAUAUGACUUUUGAUUCUCGACAAGUUUCUCAAUUGAAACCAUCUUCACAAAAACAUAUUUUCACUGCAAAUGGAACCACAACCUCAGUUAUUGGGGAAGGAUCUUUACGACUCACAAAUGAAUUAAAUUUAGACGCUGUGUUAAUUGUUCCAUCUUUAGAUUAUAAUCUUUUAUUUGUGUCUCAAUUAACCACUUACUUAUCAUGUGUUGUAAUUUUUUGGCCUGAUCAUUGUGUGUUUAAGGACAUCCAAACGAAGCAAACGAUUGGUUAUGGUAUUAGACGAGGCAACUUGUACUACUUGGAGAUGUCAUCAACAAACACUGGAAAGCUAAGCCCCGCACUAGUCGCAGAUAGUUCCAUAAAAAAAGGGAAAUCAGAAAUUUGGUUAUGGCAUAGACGUUUAGGGCAUGUGUCAUUUGGUUACUUAAAAAAAUUAUUUCCUAGUUUGUUUCUGAAAUUUGAUGUUUGUAACUUUAAAUGUGAUGUUUGUGAACUUUCAAAAAGCCAUCGAACUACUUUUCCAUUAUCCUUAAAUAAAAAUCCAGUUCCUUUUAUGGUAGUACAUUCUGAUGUAUGGGGGCCAUCUAAAGUUUCUACAAUUGGAGGUGCUCGUUGGUUUGUUACAUUUAUUGAUGAUUGUAGCAGAAUGACAUGGAUUUUUCUGAUGAAAUCGAAAGACGAAGUAAACUCUUUAUUUCAAAGAUUUCAUAAGAUAGUGACAACUCAAUUUCAGACACAAAUUCGAGUUCUACAUACUGAUAAUGGAGGUGAGUAUAUGAGCACGGCAAUUCAACAGUUUCUGAAAUCACAAGGAUCUGUCCAUCAAACUAUUUGUGUGGGGACACCCCAACAAAAUGGCGUUGCUGAACGAAAGAACAUACAUUUACUAGAAGUUGUUCGAGCAUCACUAAUUAAAGCCCACAUGCCAUUAUCUUAUUGGGGAGAAGCAUUGGCAUCCGCAGCAUACUUGAUCAAUCGAACACCUUCAAGCUCCCUUGGAUUCCAGACUCCUUUCCAAGUUCUGAAUGAUGCAAUUAUGUCACCAAAUGUUCUGAAUCUGCCCCCACAUGUGUUUGGCUGUGUUGCCUUCGUUCAUUUGCCGCAACAAGACAAAUUAUCUCCUCGAGCACUACGUUGUGUGUUUGUAGGGUAUGCCUUACAUCAAAAGGGAUACCGAUGCUAUCAUCCACCAUCAAGAAAAUUAUACAUCACCAUGGAUGUCGUUUUUCAUGAAGAUAUCAUGUACUACUUGUCAGAAUCUGAAUUUCAGGGGGAGUAUAAUGAAGAGGAAAUUCAUACUCUUACAUAUCUUCCACCUGAAGAAAGUCAAUCUUCCAUUGAGAUAGUAAACCUUCAAGAUACUGGAAAAGCAAAUGGUGAUGAUUCGCAGGCUGAGAUAUGUGAAGACACAUUUGGGGAGCACAAUAACUCAGACACAACUGCAAUCGAGAAUGAGUCAUAUGAAUAGAGGUAUCCCUAAACCCACAUAUGAGCCUGACUUCUCUAGUAGAGUCAAAUACCCUAUGAGUCAUUUUGUGUCUAACCAUCGCUUGUCAGAAUCAAAUCAGUCAUUUGUGAAUCAAUUAUCUGCUGUAUUUAUUCCUAACAGUGUGCAGGAAGCUUUAAAAGAUCCAAAGUGGAAAGCGGCUAUGAAUGAUGAAAUGAGAUCUCUUCAGAAAAAUCAAACAUGGGAACUAGUUGAUCUUCCACCAGGAAAGAAACUAGUGGGUUGUCGAUGGAUCUACACUAUAAAAUACAAAGCAGAUGACUCUAUUGAACGAUACAAAGCAAGACUCGUAGCUAAGGGUUACACCCAAACCUACGGGAUUGAUUAUACUGAUACGUUUGCACCGGUAGCAAAAAUUAAUACUAUUCGUAUCUUAUUAUCAUUAGCAGUCAACUUGGAUUGGCUAGUGCAACAGUUCGAUGUAAAGAAUGCUUUCCUCCAUGGAGACCUGUCUGAAGAAAUUUAUAUGGAUCUGCCACCAGGAUGUAGUGGACCAGAACGACUCAAUCAGAAAUAUGCAAAUUGAAGAAAUCAUUGUAUGGGUUGAAGCAAUCCCCAAGAGCAUGGUUCGGGAAAUUCACAAAGGCUAUGGUUCGUUUUGGGUAUAACCAAAGCAAUUCAGAUCAUACCUUAUUCAUUAAAAAACGACAAGGUAAAAUCACUGCCCUUAUUGUCUAUGUGGAUGAUAUGGUAGUUACAGGCAACGACGAGGAAGAAACAGAGGCUCUUCAGAAGUACUUGUCAAGAGAGUUUGAGAUGAAGGAUUUAGGUGCCUUAAAAUACUUUCUUGGAAUUGAGGUUUCUCGAUCUAAGGGAAGAAUCUUUCUGUCUCAAAGGAAAUAUGCCUUAGAUCUAUUGCACGAAACGGGAAUGACAGCUCGUCAGCCUAUUGACACCCCAAUAGAAGAAGGACUGAAGUUUUGUAUUACUUCAGACCAAGUUCCAGUAGACAAAGGAAGAUAUCAAAGGCUGAUUGGAAGAUUGAUGUAUUUGUCCCACACAAGGCCAGAUCUUGCUUAUGCAUUGAGUGUUGUAAGCCAGUUUAUGCAUAAUCCUGGAGAACAACACAUGAAAGCAGUAAUGCGGAUCCUGAGGUACCUGAAGACAAAUCCAGGAAAAGGAAUCUUAUUUUCCAAAAAUGAAGAUUACAGCAACAUAGAAGUUUAUACUGAUGCAGAUUGGGCCGGGUCAGUUAGUGAUGGACGCUCUACUUCAUGAUACUUUACCUUUGUGGGAGGAAACCUUGUCAUAUGGAGAAGCAAGAAACAACAUGUCAUUGCCCGUUCGAGCGUUGAAGCAGAAUAUUGAGGCAUGGCCCUUGGGAUAUGUGAAGGGCUAUGGAUAAGUUUUAUCUUAAACGAUUUGGGCUAUCCAUCACAACAACCAAUACAACUAUACUGUGACAACAAAGCUGCACGAGAUAUUGCUCAUAACCCAGUUCAACACGAUCGAACAAAACAUGUGGAGGUAGAUAGAUUUUUCAUCAAGGAGAAAUUAGAUGAAAAAAUCUUAGAACUGCCGAAAAUUCGAUCAGAAGAUCAACUUGCAGAUAUUUUAACGAAGGGCAUUUCAAGCAGGGCAUUUACAAAAUUCCUAGACAAGUUGGGUAUGCAAGACAUCUAUGCACCAGCUUGAGGGGGAGUGUUGAGAAUCAAAUAAAACGGCAUUGAAUGAAGCUUUCAAAGACAGAAUCUGCACUUGUCAAAGGGGUAAUCUGCACUUGUCGAAGACAAGAUCCGCGCCGAACGGAUUGACACAUUUCCUUCCGUAUUCACAUAUGUAAUCUUUGAAAAAAUGUAGCCUCUGCAUCUAUAAAUAACUCUUAAUGUAUAAUGCUUUAUUUAAGAAAUGAAAACACGUUUCUUCAAUGAGAUCACAGAGUCAUUUAUUUGGUUGUUUGAGACAUUUCUGGAGGCAAUGGAAAACAAACAACCAAAAUGUAUUUUUACAAAUAAGGAUAAAGCAAUGUCAAAUGCAAAUGAAACAGUGUUUUCAGAGACAUGUCAGCGAUUGUGUAUUUGGCAUUUUGCUAAAAAUGCCACACAACAGUUUGCUACUUAUUAUACAAGACCUGAGCUCAAGCAAUAUUACAACAAUUGCUUUUAUGGGUGUAGCAAUGCAAAAUAAUUUAAAGCUUCUUGGGUUGAGAUGAUUAAAAAGUUCAAAUUAGAAGAGCACUCAUGGCUCAAAAAGUUGUAUUCUCUUAAAGAGAAGUGGUGUCCAGCUUUAGUUUGUGUACAAUUCUACAAAUAUGAAGUCGUGAGAGUACAAAUAAUAUUUUUCAUCAAAUUUCAACAAAAACAAUGGAGCUCAUUAUAGUUGUUCAGCAUUAUGACAAUAAAGCAAACGAGAUAUGAUUAGAGGAGUUGCAAGAUGAAUAUAGUUAUAAGCAUGGAAUUUUUCAUCUCAUAAUAAAAAGUGAAAUUUUAAGCCAACAGUACAAACUUACACAAAUAAGAUGUUUGAUAUAUUUGAAAAAGAGUAUCUGGGUUGCAUGGCUUUGAUGAUGGAAGAAAUUUGUAAAAACGAUGAGGUUUAUGUAUAUAAAGCAAAUGAAGAAGGGCUACAAAGAGUAUUUCAUGCUUAUGUAAGCUAUUUCACUUGAUGGGGAUAUUGUGUGGUCAUGCUCUAAAAGUUUUUUAUUUACAUAAUUUCACGAACCUACCAGAGCGUUACUUAUUAAAGAGAUGGACUAAAGAAGCAAAGAAAGGACUUAUAAUGGGAAAUGGUACUGCUAACUUAUCACGUAACAAUACCAAGUAUGGGCAAUUAUUACGCCUUAGUGAACUGAUGCAUGCAGGAACUGAAAUUUAUAGUAUAGUGUCAUUGAGUGUUUUCUUGAACAAUGAUUGUUACAAAAACCGUUAGCCCAUACAAUGAAGCUUUUGGAGGGUGAUAUGAAAAUAAUGAGUAUAUUUGAGAAUUCAAAGAAAACAGAUGAUCGUUCCAAUCAUGAUAUUGUUCAUUCAUGAGAAAUUGGUUUUGAGUCCAACAAAAGUAAAGACUAAAGGAUUGGCAGAUGCUAGAAUAAAAAGUAAUUUGGAGAAGCAAAAAAGGAAAACUACAAAAGGCAAAAAUUUACUUUCUUUCUUCUUUUUUUUUUUUUUUUUUUUGAGGUCUAUGACUAAUUGUUCUUUAUAUAAACUUCAUUUGUUUGAAUAAGUAUCAUCUCUUAUUCAGGACAAUAGAAAAAUGUAACUACUAGUGGUUCAUCACAUCCAACAACCAAGCAACAAUUUUCAGCAUUCAAUCCAUCGAUUCAUAACUUUAAGUUUUACUAGCCUCCUUCAAGGAAUUGAUCGAAUGCCUCAUUUGAACUAGGCAAUACUUGAAAAUCAUUAUACACACUUAAAUCUCUAAGUUGUUUUAACUAAUAGAGCAUAUUUAUCUAUAUAGCGUGGUCCAUCUUUAUAUUUACCAACAGUUGCAUAUGGACAGUGGCCUCACUUAAGUGAGAUUUUUUUUUUUUAGCCUUUUGAAUUGAUUAUUUAAAUAACUAUCUAUAUGUUCUCUAAUAUACAAACAUACAAUGUAGGAUUAAAACAACUAUAGUGUGGAUCAAUUUGAACACCAAGAAAAUUGAAUGUUAUAUAACAUCAUUUUUUUUUUAAACACAAUGAUAUGUGGUCUAUGUCUCCAGUUAGCAUAUUACUAUUGUUUAUAUUCAUUGGUUAAUAUUUUUACUUUUUUAACAUUGCACUGAUUCUUUUCCCUCUUUUUGCAUGUGUAGGUUGCCAAGGCAUUUACCGAAUAUAGCAAUAUGUGGAUUUACAUAUUGGAGUGGUUAAAUUUAUAAUGUUGCUAUUGGUACAAGAAUCUUUGUUCACUUAAGAAUUAUGUUUGUUCUUAGACACUUUUUUUUUCAACUUCUCAAAUUUAUUCGAAAAAUAUUGUUGUUUAAAUUCUAUAUAACCAAGGAGAUUGUGAGUUUUUAAUUUUUAGUUUAUUUUUAGCACUAGUGCUUGCCUUCUGCAUUUUGUUAUUUAAUGAAAAAAAAUGAAAUUUUGAUACAUGUGGAUUAAUUUUGAGCAGCAAUGAAAAACUAUUUUAUGAUCUUUUCAAUUAUUGAACCUUUGUUUAUUUUUUCACUAAAGUUGAUUAUAAACGAGGGUCCAGCUAUGGUGCCCCUAUGACACCAUACCCCUACUUUUUGUUAUUUUUUCAAAUGCCUUCCCUACAAUAUUAUUAAUUGAAAAUUCAAAAUAGAGUUCCACUCAUGAGAGCAUGUUUACCAAAGGAUAAAACAUACAUAUUUUACUUACAAUAAUUUCAGAAUUCACAAGUAGUUUAGAUAAUCGUGACACAUGUUUUCCCAUUAAAAAUAGUGAAUCAAACAAUUACAAAAAAAAAUAUUCAACAUCAAUGUCCUAACUGGUUCCGCAGUACAUUAAACAAACAUGUGGUGGGCAAAAAAUUAAAAAACAAAUUGGUGAACGGUCUAAAUUCAUGUUGAUAGGCCAUUUUUACCUAAAUUAAAUUGUUAGUGGUGGCAUAUUGACCCUAAAAUUAAGGAGUUGAUGGUUCUAUUACCACAUAAAAAGGAGCAGAUGGCCAACUAUUUGGGGGAGAGAUAAGGUGAAAGUAAGAGGAGGAAGGGGGGAUUCUAGACCUUUUCUAUGAUAGCUGAAUAACACUAUGAUUUACAUUGGGAUGUAUGAUUUCUUUAUCUAAAUAUGACUUUAGCAAACAGAGGGUUCUCACCGAAACCCCACUGGCGAGUCCUGGCCGUUUUCUACGAGUGGCAGGUUGAGAAAUUCGUACUCAACUCACUACAUAGGUUCAAUUCGUGCUAUUUUUUGCACCAAAAUAAAUUUAGCUGUUGAGGUCGUUUUUCGGCAUCAACAAUUCACUUUGCAAAUGUUUGAAGUAUAAUAUUCUAUGGUCUUAGUUCACUUUCCAAAUCUAAAAUUGAUCUUUCUUUGAUGCUCCUUUUGCUUCCCAUGUCAAAAAUUAUUACCAAAGAUUUGCAAGGACACUUUAUUCAAUUUAUUAUUUUUGUAAUUUUUAAAAAAUUAAUGUUUCUUGAUUUUUUUUUGUUCGUGGAAUUAAGAAGAGGGAAGAGGAAUUUUUGAAAUCAUAGCAAACAGAAAGAAAACGAGGGAAUUGUUUAACUUUUAAUAAACUAAUUUUUAGAUUUAAAAGUUAUUGACACAUAUUAAAAAAUUAUUAGUUGAUGAUUUUACAUCAUGAGAUAACAUGGAACAUCAAAUAUAUUUUAAAAUUAAUUUCUCUGUAGUCCGACACAUGCCCACCUAGUCUCAAGAUUACUGCAGUAAAAAACUAUUUAUUUGACAAAAUAUACUUCUGUUUCUCGUUUAUAAAAAAAAGUAGCAUAAAAUGUGUGCUGGAAAUUACAAGUUGUCAUCUCAUUACUGAUCCUUCGUUAUCACACGUGACGCUCUUAAAUUAAGUUGUCGUUUCAUUGCAGUUGUAAGUUGCAGAAAACAAUAACACAGCAAGACCCCCCGCCAUUAUAACUUGCAAUCCAAAACUAUCCAGGUAUUUUAGAUAAGAUAGGAAUGGUUGCUUUUUGGCCUUCUAACCAAUAGGGGGAAAAAAAAUGUCAGAUUUUAGAGAGAAAAGAUGGUCUCUCAAGGGUAUGACCGCCCUUGUCACAGGUGGAACCAAAGGCAUCGGGUUUGUGCUUUCUCUUCUUUGCCUUAAUUUUCCUGUAUCAAUCCAAUUCUAUUCUAUUUUUUUUGUUACAAUAUAAGUUGUUAAUGAACUGAUUGAUCAGAUAUGCCGUAGUAGAAGAACUAGCAGCAUUUGGAGCAAUAGUUCAUACAUGUUCCCGUAACGAAACAGAGCUCAAUCAAAGAAUUCAAGAAUGGAAGAGUAAGGGGCUUCAAGUGAGUGGCAAUGCAUGUGACCUGAAAAUUAGAGCUCAGCGAGAGAAGCUGAUGGAGACUGUCUCGUCUCAGUUUGAUGGCAAGCUCAACAUCCUUGUAAGUUCUGCACAGCUGCCAUAUUCACAAAGAAAAUUUUUUGUUAAAAGCCGGGGACCAUACGGGAGUAUACAUUAGAUAGAUUAGGAAGUAAAAUUAUUUUUCCAAAAACUGCUUCAAUUUCAAAGUUUCUCUCUGCUUAUGUGAGUAAUAAGGUUGCAACUCUAAUGAGUCUUUUGCUUCUUCAAACUCAAGAACGCUUUAUUACUGAAGAUCAUUUUCUCAGAUUAACAAUGCUGGAACCUUCAUACCUAAGGAAACCACAGAAUUUACCGAGGAGGAUUUCUCAACUGUAAUGACUACCAACUUUGAGUCUGCUUAUCAUCUGUCUCAACUUGCACACCCCCUCUUAAAAUCAUCAGGAAAUGGAAACAUCAUAUUUAUAUCCUCUGUUGCAGGCGUUAUUGCUAUACCAAUGUGUUCCAUCGCAGCAUCGAGUAAAGGUACAGUCCAAUAUUUUCUUUUAAUAUCUAGCUCCAAGGAAGUCUUUUAAAUGCUAAAUAGUCUUCUGUACUCCAGGGGCGAUGAAUCAACUCACAAAGAACUUGGCAUGCGAGUGG